rnacentral:tRNA from 1 species
GGUGGAAUAGCAAAGGGUAGUGCUGUCCGCUGUAAAUGGAUGGGGAAAUCCCGACGGGAGUUCAAGUCUCUCUUCCAUCA